AUGCACGCUGGCGGCGUGCCUCAUACAUGCCAGUCGCGCGAACAGACGAGGAGCUUGCUCCUCUGACGUUAGCGGCGGACGGGUGAGUAACACGUGGAUAACCUACCUAUAAGACUGGGAUAACUUCGGGAAACCGGAGCUAAUACCGGAUAAUAUAUUGAACCGCAUGGUUCAAUAGUGAAAGACGGUUUUGCUGUCACUUAUAGAUGGAUCCGCGCCGCAUUAGCUAGUUGGUAAGGUAACGGCUUACCAAGGCAACGAUGCGUAGCCGACCUGAGAGGGUGAUCGGCCACACUGGAACUGAGACACGGUCCAGACUCCUACGGGAGGCAGCAGUAGGGAAUCUUCCGCAAUGGGCGAAAGCUUGACGGAGCAACGCCGCGUGAGUGAUGAAGGUCUUCGGAUCGUAAAACUCUGUUAUUAGGGAAGAACAAAUGUGUAAGUAACUAUGCACGUCUUGACGGUACCUAAUCAGAAAGCCACGGCUAACUACGUG
rnacentral:rRNA from 1 species